UAGGUACAUAAAAACGUAUUGCCGCUUG
rnacentral:piRNA from 1 species